UACAGAGGUCUCAAGCGUUGUUCGGAUUUAUUGGGCGUAAAGAGCGUGUAGGCGGCCAGACAAGUCUGCUGUGAAAACUCGAGGCUCAACCUCGAGCUGUCGGUGGAAACUGUCUGGCUAGAGUCCGGAAGAGGAGAGUGGAAUUCCUGGUGUAGCGGUGAAAUGCGCAGAUAUCAGGAGGAACACCAAUUGCGAAGGCAGCUCGCUGGGACGUAACUGACGCUGAGACGCGAAAGCGUGGGGAGCAAACAGG
rnacentral:rRNA from 1 species